UGAGGCAGACACGGAGCCCUGUGUGGAUGGCUGGGUGUAUGACAGAAGCUACUUCCCCUCCACCAUCAUAACUGAGUGGGACCUGGUUUGUGAAUCCCAGUCAUUAAAACCAAUGGUUCAAACUCUGUUUAUGACUGGGUCACUGUUGGGAAGUCUGAUAUAUAG
rnacentral:lncRNA from 1 species